GUGGCUGGGUGGUGGCUGGUGGUGGCCUCCGCCCCCGGGAAGGUGACAGGAGACGGCGAUGUCGCGGAGCAGUGAGGUCCUGGUGACCGCCGACUUGGAAAGUCCCCUGGGACACCGGCUGAGCAAGGCUUGUCUCCGUGGUCAUCAUCCCGGGUUCUUCCUCUGAUGCUUUGCUCUGUGGCCUUUACCCCAGACUAUUUUGCCACCUGACUGCAAGGAUCAGACACGAGGGGAAAGGACUCCCCAGGUCAGGUGACUGUGUCUGGCCACUGUUUCUGACUCAGCCUUCUCUCCAGGACAUUCAGGCAUCUCACUGAAGUCUGCCCAGCGCAGGGGGAAGAGGCCAUUAUUAUCCUAAAAUACGGAGCUUCACAAGCUGAUGUGCCUGUCUGCAAAGUCCCUAUGGAGACCAGGCGGACACACAUAAAUGGGCAAAUGGUUUUUAACCACAGGUGCUGACACUGAGUUUUCUGAGAGCAGUAGACACUCAGCUCCUACUUGGGGAUUUGUAGGAAGAAUUUCACGGAGCGUGCCCCAAAUUUUCUUUAAAAGCAAAAACGAAAAUAAAAAUCAAAACAGUGACAACAA